UACGUAGGGUGCAAGCGUUGUCCGGAAUUAUUGGGCGUAAAGCGCACGUAGGCGGCUUUGUAAGUCGGAUGUGAAAUCCCUCGGCUUAACCAAGGAAGUGCAUCCGAAACUGCAAGGCUUGAGUACUUAAGAGGAUCGCGGAAUUCCCGGUGUAGAGGUGAAAUUCGUAGAUAUCGGGAGGAACACCAGUGGCGAAGGCGGCGAUCUGGGAAGAUACUGACGCUGAGGUGCGAAAGCGUGGGGAGCAAACAGG
rnacentral:rRNA from 1 species